rnacentral:rRNA from 1 species
CCUACGGGUGGCUGCAGUGAGGAAUAUUGGACAAUGGGGGAGAGCCUGAACCAGCCAAGUAGCGUGAGGGAAGAAUGACCUACGUGUUGUAAACUUCUUUUAUAAAGGAGUAAAGUGAGGCACUUGUGCCUGUUUGUAUGUACUUUUUGAAUACGGAUGGGCUAACUACGUGCCAGCAGCCGCGGUAAUACGGAGGAUCCGAGCGUUAUCCGGAUUUAUUGGGUUUAAAGGGAGCGUAGAUGGGUUGUUAAGUCAGUUGUGAAAGUUUGGGGCUCAACCGUAAAAUUGCAAUGGAUACUGGCAGUCUUGAGUACAGUGGAGGUAGGCGGAAUUCGUGGUGUAGCGGUGAAAUGCUUAGAUAUCACGAAGAACUCCGAUUGCGAAGGCAGCUUACUAAACUGCCACUGACAUUGAGGCUCGAAAGCGUGGGGAGCAAACAGGAUUAGAUACCCCUGUAGUC